rnacentral:rRNA from 1 species
UGGGGAAUUUUGGACAAUGGGCGCAAGCCUGAUCCAGCCAUUCCGCGUGAGUGAAGAAGGCCUUCGGGUUGUAAAGCUCUUUCGGCAGGAACGAAACGGUGGGGGCUAAUACCCUCUGCUAAUGACGGUACCUGAAGAAGAAGCACCGGCUAACUACGUGCCAGCAGCCGCGGUAAUACGUAGGGUGCGAGCGUUAAUCGGAAUUACUGGGCGUAAAGCGUGCGCAGGCGGUUCUAUAAGACAGAUGUGAAAUCCCCGGGCUUAACCUGGGAACUGCGUUUGUGACUGUAGGACUCGAGUGUGGCAGAGGGGGGUGGAAUUCCACGUGUAGCAGUGAAAUGCGUAGAGAUGUGGAGGAACACCGAUGGCGAAGGCAGCCCCCUGGGUCAACACUGACGCUCAUGCACGAAAGCGUGGGUAGCAAACAGG